rnacentral:hammerhead_ribozyme from 1 species
AUCCAGCUGACGAUUGUAAAAUAGAACGAAACGCGCGUCCUGGAU